GCGCUCCAUUUGGCAGCACACAUACUACAAUGGAAACAACACAAAGAAGAUUAGUAUGGCCCCUGUGCAAGGAGGACAUGUAAAUUCUUGAAGUGGUCCAAAUUUUA